CUCGGGAGGUCUCUUUGAUGAUCUAUAGUUUUAAGUAUUUGAAAUGUCUCUGAGAAACAAAAUGGUGGAAGUCUUCCUCUUCGCCAUCUUGUUCCUCUGACCACCCCCUCCCCGACACCUCUUCUCCUUGUUCUUGAGACAGACUUCCAUUAUGUUGCCCAGCUGGCCUAGAACUCAUUGUAUAAUUCAGGCUGGCCCGGAAUUAGUGAUUCCCCUGCCUCAGCCUCCCAGGUGAGGGUGCUACGUGGGACAUGUAAAUAUCAAAUAAGUUCCUUCCAUGGCCUCAUUUGUUUCUCAUAACAGUUCCAUGAGGGAGUUAUGCCAGGCGGGAACCCAUUUUGCAGAGGAGGACAUAGAGGGUCGGAGAAGUUCAGCAGUUUUCGAAAUCACUGAGCUGGCCAACUGAGGAGCCGAAAGUCAAAUCCAGUGUCAGAAGCCCCUGUAUUUUCUCAUGACUCUGUGACACCUUCAGAGCUAUACUCCUGGGCAUUCCAAGAACACUGAGCACUAAGAAUAAUGGUUUACACACUGAUAUCUACGAUUUUCUCUCUUUCCCUGGCUUGGCUACAACCCAGUCACGUGAUCUAGGGUGAGUGCAGUCUAAGAAUAUGUGGAUGUCUGGAAGAGAGGAGACCAGACAGCCUUUCAAUGUUGCCUGCAUCUCUUCUGAGAACACCACCUCCAUUUUCUUUGCCAGGAGCAUUCAUCUGGAACCCCUGGCUCUUGUGUCUUCAAGACAGCAGGCAGGUGAAGGAAGUGGCACUGUGGAGGGCCAUCAUUCAUGCUCUGGAAAUCUGGGUUCGUCUUCGGUGUUUCUGUCUGGGUCAGCAGCAGCCCAGUCCUGCUUUUGUGCCUGGGAACUGCCCUCUCCCACCCUCCUAGAUCUCCUAGUAGAAGGCAAAUGGGGGCGCGCGGGGCGGGGGGGUGAGCAUUGGUGUUUAAAGGUAAGUGAUGCACACGAUGUCCCUCAGGCCCUGCUAGGAGUUUGUGGUGGGCUGGGAGUGUUGGUUGAGUGCCUUGCCAGAUGAAUGUGGAGGCAGGAAUGAAGAAUAGCAGACAGUGAAGUGCACACAGCCUUUAACACUAAUGUGUGGCCGUCCAUUAUGUCCUUAAUGACAAUAACAGCAAAACAGUGAUAAUGAUGUGAUGGGCAGAGGGAGCAGGAUGAAUGAUGGGUGCGGACAUCAAGGGGGCCCGUUCUCCUCCUGGAGAACUGGAGUGCUAAGCAGGCUUUCUAGUUUCGGGGGCCUGUGCGCCAUGCUCUGCUGGCAAGACGCCCCUGUGGGACCCAAAGGGGGAGAAGAAUCCCUCACCCGGGAUCUUGGGGACGUCAAACUGCUUCUUACGCAACAGCCUCCUAAUGAGUUAAGUGUAAAUGAAUCAGAAGCAGAUGGAUUGGACUGUUCUGGAAAUACACCCGAGGUUUAAAAAUUAAGGGAAAAAGCAGUUGGCAAAAGGCAUUUUGGGGUUUGCCAAGACCCAGAACAUUUGAAAAACAGUUCAAGCUUUUUUUUUUUUUUUCCUUCCCUUUUUCUUUUUCUUUUCUCUUUGGUUGCAAAACCCAAAAUGCUGCCUGGAGGCAGUAGAAAGAUCUGGGCCUCCAUUCUUUCAAGCUGAAGUUCUCCUGCCGUGUGGGUAAUGGGCCCCAGACAGGAGGCAAUGGGCUAUGGAAUUGCAUGGAGAAGGACUGUCCAGGGGCGAAGCAGCCUCUCCAUGUGAGCGAGGGCCCCUGGAGCCUGGAGCUCCCAUCGCGGUCUCAGCCCUCUAGGCCGGCUUUGGGCUGUUACCCAGGUCUCAGGUGGUGCCUCUGUCUCUCCCAAGACUUGACUCAUUUCUGCCAAUCCAGCGGAAGCUCCUUUUGAAAGGGAAGUCGUUUCCAAUGUUCUAGGGCCCUCCAUUUCCAAGACACGCUAUCCUCCUUUGUGGCUUUACCGGAAUCCCGUCUGGCAGAGCAAUAUUGGUGUUUUGCUGAGCAGAUGGAAAAACCUGGAAUCCAGCACUCUGUGUGUUCAGAAACACCAUGGUCCAGUCGACUUACUCACUCAUCCCUCCGUGCCCUGGGCUCUUUCAGGGCACCCUGUGUUAUUCGCGAAGAUCCCUGGCUCCUGUCCUGUGGAAUGACUGACAUUUCUUCCCAGUCCAGCUGAGCCGUGGGCAGGACUCCAUCCUUUUUUCCUUGGCAUCUGCAUCCCAUUUUCCCAUCUCAGCAACACUAGACAGUAGCCCGGGCUGUCUAGGUGGAUGUCACUUGCCUCUGGAUUAAUGCCAUCCUAAGCCACCUGCUUCUUGUGUGUGGCUCUGGCAAGUUUCCUGAAGAUAGAGGUUGCAUCUGGGACUUAUUUUUGUUUCUCCAUUUGCCCAAAUGAGUGUUCAAUAAA